rnacentral:rRNA from 1 species
GAUGAACGCUAGCGGCACGCUUAAUACAUGCAAGUCGAGGGGCAGCACGGGUAGCAAUACUGGGUGGCGACCGGCAAACGGGUGCGGAACACGUACACACCCUUCCUUUUGGUGGGGGAUAGCCUUUGGAAACGGAGAUUAAUACCCCAUCAUUCAGGGCGCCCGCAUGGGUCUAUAGAUAAAGAUUUAUUGCCAGAAGAUGGGUGUGCGUCUGAUUAGGUAGUUGGCGGGGUAAAGGCACACCGAGCCGACGAUCAGUAACUGGUGUGAGAGAGCGACCAGUCACACGGGCACUGAGACACGGGCCCGACUCGUACGGGAGGCAGCAGUAAGGAAUAUUGGUCAAUGGGCGGAAGCCUGAACCAGCCAUGCCGCGUGGAGGAUGAAGGUCCUCUGGAUUGUAAACUUCUUUUAUCAGGGGCGAAAAAAGGCCAUUCUUGGUCGUCUGACGGUACCUGAUGAAUAAGCACCGGUUAACUCCGUGCCAGCCGCCGCGGUAACAC